rnacentral:rRNA from 1 species
UACGAAGGGGGCUAGCGUUGCUCGGAAUCACUGGGCGUAAAGCGCACGUAGGCGGAUUGUUAAGUCAGGGGUGAAAUCCUGGAGCUCAACUCCAGAACUGCCUUUGAUACUGGCGAUCUUGAGUCCGGGAGAGGUGAGUGGAACUGCGAGUGUAGAGGUGAAAUUCGUAGAUAUUCGCAAGAACACCAGUGGCGAAGGCGGCUCACCUGGCCCGGUACUGACGCUGAGGUGCGAAAGCGUGGGGAGCAACAGG